rnacentral:tRNA from 1 species
GUUCAUCUUAACUUGCAGGUAACUCUGCAAUCCGUGACCGGUCGGUAUGUUUAUUAGUAUGUAAAAAGGCUGGGCUUCCUGCCU